GCUGGGCACGGUGGCGCACACCUGUAAUCCCAGUGGCUCAGGAGGCAGAGGCAGGAGGAUCGAGAGUUCGAAGCCAGCCUCAGCAAUGGUGAGGCUCUAAGCAACUCAGUGGAAUCCUGUCUCUA
rnacentral:sRNA from 1 species